UACGUAGGGUGCGAGCGUUAAUCGGAAUACUGGGCGUAAGCGUGCGCAGGCGGUGAUGUAAGACAGUUGUGAAAUCCCCGGGCUCAACCUGGGAACUGCAUCUGUGACUGCAUCGCUGGAGUGCGGCAGAGGGGGAUGGAAUUCCGCGUGUAGCAGUGAAAUGCGUAGAUAUGCGGAGGAACACCGAUGGCGAAGGCAAUCCCCUGGGCCUGCACUGACGCUCA
rnacentral:rRNA from 1 species